CAGCACCUCAAGUGGUCAGGAUGAUUAUUGGGCCUAAAGCAUCCGUAGCCGGCUCUGUAAGUUUUCGGUUAAAUCUGUAUGCUCAACAUACAGGCUGCCGGGAAUACUGCAGAGCUAGGGAGUGGGAGAGGUAGACGGUACUCGGUAGGAAGGGGUAAAAUCCUUUGAUCUAUUGAUGACCACCUGUGGCGAGGGCGGUCUACCAGAACACGUCCGACGGUGAGGGAUGAAAGCUGGGGGAGCAAACCGGAUUAGAUACCCGCGUAGUCC
rnacentral:rRNA from 1 species